GACGAACGCUGGCGGCGUGCCUAAUACAUGCAAGUCGAACGAAGCUGUUUUAACUGGUGCUUGCACCGACCUAAACAACUGAGUGGCGAACGGGUGAGUAACACGUGGGUAACCUGCCCCAAAGCGGGGGAUAACAUUUGGAAACAGAUGCUAAUACCGCAUAACCACAGAAACCACAUGGUUUCUGUGUCAAAGAUGGUUUCGGCUAUCACUUUGGGAUGGACCCGCGGCGUAUUAGCUAGUUGGUAAGGUAAUGGCUUACCAAGGCAAUGAUACGUAGCCGAACUGAGAGGUUGUUCGGCCACAUUGGGACUGAGACACGGCCCAAACUCCUACGGGAGGCAGCAGUAGGGAAUCUUCCACAAUGGACGAAAGUCUGAUGGAGCAACGCCGCGUGAGUGAAGAAGGUUUUCGGAUCGUAAAACUCUGUUGUCAGAGAAGAACGUGUGCGAGAGUAACUGCUCGUGCAGUGACGGUAUCUGGCCAGAAAGCCACGGCUAACUACGUGCCAGCCGCCGCAGUAAGAC
rnacentral:rRNA from 1 species